AGGAGAGCCAAGAAGAGGCUGGGCAGAGCACUCUGUUCCCUCUUGAAAUGUACCAGUCGGAGAAGUUGUUCUUCCUCCCAUGCUGUCAAGAAUAAUGAAUCUUCCGUUCUCCUGGUUGUCUUCCGGAUCACUGACAAUAAUUCAACAAUCCCAUUUGCAAAUGUUAUCACAGCCUGGAAAGCCCUUCAUCGAGAUAAUCCCAUGGGAGAUGAGAGGGAGCACAAUGCACAAG